CUGAAGGGCCCCGGCGUCACCAGAGGGCGAGUUCCGGUCCAGAGGACAGAGCUUUGCAGGGCUCCAGGGCAUCUCCCACCUCUCCCCUACUCGUGGGCCCGUUACACCGCAAACAUGAGUAUAUUCUUCUCUUGCGCCUGUUUCAGUCCCUUCGCAGAGACAAGCCCGGGGAGCAGCCCCUUGUUGGAUGCUUAAACAGAAACAGUGCGUAGUGCUGAAGCCUAUACUUUUUUUCCCCUCGCUAAUGAGGACUGAACCAAGAGCCCCACGCAUGCUGGACAAGUGCCCUAUCGCUGAGCUGCCUCCCCAGUGCAACAGUGGUCUGCUGAGACAGCUGCUAAUGGAUUGGAGAGUAUACAACAUUGAUACACUGGACAAAGGGAUGAUUCGUGUUCUGCACAAGAUGGAAUGGGAUGGUGCAAGAUUUCACGCCACUACUCAGAAUGAUAUUAAACAUUAUU